rnacentral:tRNA from 1 species
GGGCCCGUAACUCAGCGGUAGAGUAGAUGCCUUUUAAGCAUUCGGUCGUGAGUUCGAAUCUCACCGGGCUCA